GACGAACGCUGGCGGCGUGCCUAACACAUGCAAGUCGAGCGAGUGAAUCUCCUUCGGGAGUGAAGCUAGCGGCGGACGGGUGAGUAACACGUGGGCAACCUGCCUCAUAGAGGGGAAUAGCCUUCCGAAAGGAAGAUUAAUACCGCAUAAGAUUGCAGCUUCGCAUGAAGUAGCAAUUAAAGGAGCAAUCCGCUAUGAGAUGGGCCCGCGGCGCAUUAGCUAGUUGGUGAGGUAACGGCUCACCAAGGCGACGAUGCGUAGCCGACCUGAGAGGGUGAUCGGCCACAUUGGGACUGAGACACGGCCCAGACUCCUACGGGAGGCAGCAGUGGGGAAUAUUGCACAAUGGGGGAAACCCUGAUGCAGCAACGCCGCGUGAGUGAUGACGGCCUUCGGGUUGUAAAGCUCUGUCUUCAGGGACGAUAAUGACGGUACCUGAGGAGGAAGCCACGGCUAACUGCGUGCCAGCCGCCGCAGUAA
rnacentral:rRNA from 1 species